rnacentral:lncRNA from 1 species
CAAAUGGAAACAAUCAAUGCUAUGUAUCACAUGUGGAUUGCAUUUUGCAAAAAGGAAUCAGGAGCAUUGCAAUGGUGCUAAGAUUGUGCAUGUGCAACCUCAUCCUCUGCAAUAAAAUUACUGGGACCGUGAAAAAAUAUGAAAUUUACAUGAUAAUUUUUGUGUUAAAGUUACAGUUUUCAGCGAGUUAAAUAGAAAAUGUUAACUGAUAAUCAGGUUUCUCUUCCAAGACAAAAGAAGUUGUGCAAUUUUAGCAACAUUGCAAUGCUCCUGGUCCCUUUUUGCAAAAUACAAUCCAUGUAGUUCUUUCACAAUGGCGUCCCUGGAAUCACCAAACCAUCUUAAGAUGUCUUCCACACUAAUUACCUGUUUCCGAAGCCAUUGUCUGGGCAUUACAUUGGCAAGCAAGAACUGUCCUUUGAGGGACGGUAACAACCCGAACUUAUUCCAAAACUCGUACGGGUCCUCAUCUCCACAGGCCUGCACCCAGUGGUCAUCCAGAUCUCCCCGUCUCUGCAGACUAACGACCACGUCGUACGGGUUAUGGACAGUCCGGUUGCCGAAAUAAUAUCCCUCGUACAUGGCUUCCAUCUUCGGCACCAGCCCAGGUUUCGGCUCGCCGAAUUGUUUCGCCAGAGAGUCCAUUUCAUCGUAGGUGAAGCCGAAGAACUCGGACAGAGCACCGUCGUUCAUGGGAUAUUCCAGGACGAGUUUUUAGAAUUCGGCGUUGUGACUGGAAUCACAAUCGUCGGGACUGAAGAUAUGAACUUUCUGGAGUAUCCCAUGAACGACGGUGCUCUCUCCGAGUUCUUCGGCUUCACCUACGAUGAAAUGGAGUCUAGGACGAAGAAGGAAAAUAAUCACUAUAAAAUCAUAUUUUUGGUAAAAAAAAGAAGAAGAAAAAACUGAAAACAUUUUGAAAUUGGGGGAAAAGUUCUAAGUCUUUUACUUUUCUUUAAAACUCUUGCAAUAACUUUCAUGAAAUUUCGUACUUUAAUCAUUAUGACAAAAAGAAAUAUCUGGUAAUAUUUGAAGUGGUUCUGCUCAUUAAUUUCCUUAGAAUAAUUGUGACAAGUUUGAAAAGUUAAGAAAGAUAGCGCCUGAGCACAAAUGACGCUUCUGAUAUUUUUCCCAGAGAGUAGGAGGGGGAGAGAGGAGGAGAGAGGGGGAGAGAGAGAGAAAGAGAAAAAAAGAGACAAGGCGUAGUGUUCAUGAACCCUUAAGCGCUUGCGCUCCUGGAAUGGGACCGAUACAUUUGAAGGUUAAAACGUUGCAAGCCCCAUGAGCCAGAGUUUUUCAAAAUUUCCGUAAAUCGUUACACCACACGUGCCUCCUCACGUUUUUAGGACGUGAUCAGGGGUUUCUUGGGCUUUGGCCGUUCCUGGUUGCCCAAUAACAGCAGAUAAAUGAAAAGCACAAUUUUAUUUUGUUAUAAUUUUUUUUAUCUCUCUCCUUGUUUUUGUAAAGGUAGUACAUUUUUAUAGUAUAAAUUUGGCAUUAAUGUUAUAUUUUUUGAAUAUUAAGAUAAGCUUUUUAAACACAUUUAAUCUGUCCAAAAGUGAAUCUUUAUACAGUUUCUUAUGUGCGAAAUAAAA